rnacentral:lncRNA from 1 species
AGAUAAAAAACUAAAAUCCUAUUUAUCCAUAUAAAACACUAUUUUCACAUAAUGCAAAGAGCUUGAACAUCUCUUUCCCAUGAAGUUCCUACUCAUGUGCUAACUCAUCUACCAAAUUCUUAUUGUACAUCUCGUCUAAAUGUUCAAACUCUUUAUUUUUCGAUUCACAUUCACUUGCUAACUUCUUCUCAACAUUCCAUCUCUUCCUUUUGCACGUGUAUGAUUUUUCUCGAUGUACCAAACCAUAAUCAUGGGUUAAUGCUUUCUCCAACACCACG